rnacentral:sRNA from 1 species
GUUAGUUCGGCCCAGUGGCGGCACCGCUGCUUCACACGCGUUUGCCGGGAGAUGCGGCCGCUUCGUCCUCUGCAGUCAAGAUGCUGGGCGCGUCGAGGACUGGGAUUUCAAAUAUGCAUGCAUUAGAGAAUGAUUUUUUCAAUUCUCCCCCAAGAAAAACUGUUCAGUUUGGUGGAACUGUGACAGAAGUCUUGCUGAAGUACAAAAAGAGUGAAACGAAUGACUUUGAGUUGUUGAAGAACCAGCUGUUAGAUCCAGACAUAAAGAGAUUGCCUUGGUUGAAUACAAGUCAAACAGUAGUGGAAGAGUAUUUGGCUUUUCUUGGUAAUCUUGUAUCAGCACAGACUGUUUUCCUCAGACCGUGUCUCAGCAUGAUUGCUUCCCAUUUUGUGCCUCCCCGAGUGAUCAUUAAGGAAGGCGAUGUAGAUGUUUCAGAUUCUGAUGAUGAAGAUGAUAAUAUUCCUGCAAAUUUUGACACAUGUCACAGAGCCUUGCAAAUAAUAGCAAGAUAUGUACCAUCGAAUGUUACGUUCAUAACUUACUAAGGAUUAGUGUAUAUUUUCCAACCUUGAGGCAUGAAAUUCUGGAGCUUAUUAUUGAAAAACUACUCAAGUUGGAUGUGAAUGCAUCCCGGCAGGGUAUUGAAGAUGCUGAAGAAACAGCAUAUCAAACUUGUGGUGGGACAGAUUCCAUGGAAGGAUUGUUUAAUAUGGUUAGCAGUUUAUUAAUGAAAGUGGAGAUGAAGUUUAUCAUAAUCAAAGGGUGGAAACAGCUAGUGCUGCUCAUCUUUGGAUUCGCAGAGGCAUUUUUGGAACAUCUUUGGAAAAAAUUGCAGGAUCCAAGUAAUCCUGCCAUCAUCAGGCAGGCUGCUGGAAAUUAUAUUGGAAGCUUUUUGGCAAGAGCUAAAUUUAUUCCUCUUAUUACUGUAAAAUCAUGCCUAGAUCUUUUGGUUAACUGGCUGCACAUAUACCUUAAUAACCAGGAUUCGGGAACAAAGGCAUUCUGCGAUGUUGCUCUCCAUGGACCAUUUUACUCAGCCUGCCAAGCUGUGUUCUACACCUUUGUUUUUAGACACAAGCAGCUUUUGAGCGGAAACCUGAAAGAAGGUUUGCAGUAUCUUCAGAGUCUGAAUUUUGAGCGGAUAGUGAUGAGCCAGCUAAAUCCCCUGAAGAUUUGCCUGCCCUCAGUGGUUAACUUUUUGGCUGCAAUCACAAAUAAGUACCAGCUCGUCUUCUGCUACACCAUCAUUGAGAGGAACAAUCACCAGAUGCUGCCAGUCAUUAGGAGUACCACUGGAGGAGACUCAGUGCAGACCUGCACAAACCCACUGGACACCUUCUUCCCCUUUGAUCCCUGUGUGCUGAAGAGGUCAAAGAAAUUCAUUGAUCCUAUUUAUCAGGUAUGGGAAGACAUGAGUGCUGAAGAGCUACAGGAGUUCAAGAAACCCAUGAAAAAGUUGUUUUGGAGAAUCAUGUAGCAACAGAUGAAGACGAACCUGCUUUGAAAUGCCAGCGACUAGAAAUCAAUUGCCAGGAUCCAUCUAUAAAGUCAUUCCUGUAUUCCAUCAACCAGACAAUCUGCUUGCGGUUGGAUAGCAUUGAAGCCAAAUUGCAAGCCCUG